AUAUUGCACAAUGGGGGAAACCCUGAUGCAGCGACGCCGCGUGAGCGAAGAAGUAUCUCGGUAUGUAAAGCUCUAUCAGCAGGGGAGAAAAUGACGGUACCUGACUAAGAAGCACCGGCUAAAUUCGUGCCAGCAGCCGCGGUAAUACGUAUGGUUCAAGCGUUAUCCGGAUUUACUGGGUGUAAAGGGAGCGUAGACGGCUGUGCAAGUCUGGAGUGAAAGCCCGGGGCUCAACCCCGGGACUGCUUUGGAAACUGUACGGCUGGAGUGCUGGAGAGGCAAGCGGAAUUCCUAGUGUAGCGGUGAAAUGCGUAGAUAUUAGGAGGAACACCAGUGGCGAAGGCGGCUUGCUGGACAGUAACUGACGUUGAGGCUCGAAAGCGUGGGGAGCAAACA
rnacentral:rRNA from 1 species